GUCCUUGCCGUAAACGAUGUAUACUUGGUGUUUUGGGCUCAACCCUGAAAGUAUCGAAGCGAAAUCGAUAAGUAUACCGCCUGGGGAGUACGCUCGCAAGGGUAAAACUCAAAAGAAUUGACGGGGACCCGCACAAGCAGUGGAGCAUGUGGUUUAAUUCGAUGCAACGCGAAGAACCUUACCUGGGCUUUAACUGCACAUGGCGGAUACAGAGAUGUAUCUUUCUCGCAAGAGACAUGUGCAGAGGUGCUGCAUGGCUGUCGU
rnacentral:rRNA from 1 species